AUAAGGGCAGGGAUUUAGAAGGAGAAAGAGUUAUAUCAUCAGAAUUUUAUUAAAACUGCUUGGGAUUUUAUAGAUCAUCUGUUUGAAAUCUCACAUUUUAUGACAGAGAAACUGAGAAAGAUACAGCUAGAAAAAUAUAAAGAGCAGAUAAGUGGAUGGAUCCAAUGGACAUGUUGUGCGUUGAAUGAAAUCUUUGCAUUUGUAAUUAUUUCAGAAGGCCCUGGGUACGAUCACUCACAGGUCUAGGUAGUAGAAAACUGCUGUCCUUUCUAAUUCAUUCUCCCUGCCCCCAUUACUUUCUAAUGCCUUCCAGCAUCUAAAAGCCUGUUUCUCCAGAGAAGCUACAGAGCUGAUGUUUACAAAACUCAGAGAUAGUGCAGAAGAUAUUUUUAGAAUUGUCUAAGUGCUAGGAACAAUGUGUGGUAGAUGCUGUGGAGCCCAUUCAGAUGACCUGCCAAUACUGAGUUUCUUAUUUCCCCAGCUUCUGGGAAUAAGGGCUGCUGACUGGCUCACAGCCCAGGCCAUUCUCUGUGAACCGCCAUUGGUCAAAGUGGCCCAUCCAAGUUAUUCUCCUCCUGGAGGUGUCAGUCUGCACCCAAUCACUGGUCAGUGUAAGGGUAUAAUGACACAGUGUGCUUGCCUUGAUUUGGGACAACUCUGAGAGCCGUUUCUGUUUCAGAGUUCCCCGUAGGGUCAGCCAAAGCUCCGCGGCAGUUGCACUGCAGGUCUAGUUCUCCCUGGAUCCAUCUUGCUUCCUUCAUUCCCCAGCAAACCUGCUACAGGCACAUCUCUAUCUCAAAGUCUAUUUCCCAGAGAACCCAUACUAAGACAAUGUAACUGAACCAUUACAUAUGAAAUCAUUACAAAAUGUAGAGUUUAUUUUACCAGAAGUUGUGUUGUUUUCAACUUCUUAAAACAAAAGUAGGGACCUGGUUUCAGAGUUAUAGACCCUCUCCUCCCAGAAGGAAGAAUAGAGCUGAACAAUUAUCUGUGAAAUUUGAUCCAUUUAGAUAACCAAUUUUGCUUGACUAUUCCUUCCUUUGUAAGAAGAAGCCUUUAUACUGGUUAAUGUUAUUCUUGUUUCUGUUUUGAAGCUAUAGGUAUAUACAAAAGGAAAAUUAACCUGUGGGCCAUCAUCAUCUUUGCUACUCAAAGUAUGAUUGCUGUACCAGCAGCCUGGGCAUCACUCGUGAGCUUGUUAGAAAUGCAGACUCUCAGGCCCCACUCCAGCCCCACUGACUCAUCAUCUGCAUUUGAUCAAGACUCCCAGGUGUCUCAUAUGCACACUAAACUUUGAUAAUCACUAAACUAUACCACUGUUGUUAAAUCAGCCUGCUUGUUAAGACUGGGCAUUGUGCAAACGGAAAACAAGCAUUGGAGUCAGAAGAAUUCAAUUUCUGCCUCCUUCUUGCAGAGCACCUUGGGCAAAAACAACCAUAAAGACUUUUGCCCACAUUUUUUCCUCACUCCCUCUUCCAUCUAACCAACCCUGAUGCUUUUGUGUGGCCCUGUGUGGUGAGGCAUGCCUCCUUCUCUGGAAAACUGUGAGUAACACAUUAUCUUUUCAAUGCCAAUCAUCUUCUCCUCUGUUGACCUUAGCAAACUUGAAUAAACAUAAAACUUACAUUUUAAGAGUUGUCUCACUUUCUAACACUUCUAUAGUCUAGGGUUCAUUUUUUCCAUUUUUUGAGAAGACAAAGCUAAGACUCCUCCAUCUAUCUUAGAGCCUUCCAUCUUCUUUAAACCAAUAUGGUAUGGUGAGAAGAGGGAAAUAUUUCUAGUAAAAUAGAUUGGUCAGAAUUCAAAUAUCACCUAGUAUGACUCUGGCAGUAACAAAUAGCUGCAAGCAUCUUAGUCAUUCUAUACAUAAAAGUGUAUUGCCCACUCACCAAACCCUCUGCAAGUCUGGAUACUCUCCAGUGCAGCUCACUUCCCAGCAGCUAAGUAUGGAUUCUUCCAGGUUCUAUUUUGUAGCUCCAUCAUCUCAACUCAUGGCUUCUGGGGUCUUCAAGACCUCAGGCAAGAAGAAAGUGAAAAGAACACACACUGAUCAUAAGCAUUAUAUCUGGAGAUGACACGUCACAUUCAUACACAGGUUAUUGGCCAGAAGUCAUCAUAUAACUAACCUAACAAGGAAGUUUGUAAAUAUAGUGGAGUACAUGAAUAUUUGGUGAGUGCUUCCUGUGACAACCACUUCUGCCACUUUUUAGCUUUUUUGCCUUGGGAAAUAUCUUUACCUUCCAUUAGCAUAUUGUGGUGUCCCAAGUGCAGAGUUCAAUAGCGAUUCUACUGGAAAAAUAAGUUGUGAAUCAUUCCUUCCAUUUCUAACACAUGGAUGCAAUGAGUUUAAUAUUCAUUCACUCUGUAGUCACUCAGAGCUCCAUGAACUUUCCUUGGUGGAGUAACCUCUUUACUUAUACUUACAAUAUAAAUUACUAAAAAUUGCAUUCCAUUUUGUCCUUAUUUUCACUUUCAACUUUGGCUUGAGGCUUCUUGUAUGUUUUUAUUUGGGUUGUGUUGAUUUUUUUAAUAUAUAUAUAGUCUAGAAACAGAAUCAUACACAGAUAACUGUCUCAAUAUUCAAAUAGGUCUAAAGAAAAUUGGAGUCUCUUUUAGGAUACCACAGAAAUUAAAUCAACCUAUCAUUUCCUGCUUUAGCUACUUUAUUUCUCUUUUUAUCUGCUGUUUCUCCCUAUUCUGAGUGUCUCUCCAAUUGUAGCACCUCUUUGGGGCCACGUCAUGUGGGACCCCUUCAUAGAUCACUGUUCAGUCUAUAUAUGGUUGUGUUGGUCGCUUACAUAGUCCCAAUACAAUCUGGCACUGUAAGAGUUGCUGAAGGUCAUAUGACACCCUGCACUGUAUAACUCACCCCCGUCAGCUUAUCUCAAAAGAUAGCUUUGGUUGUAGCA
rnacentral:lncRNA from 1 species